AGAUGUUUGUAGGACAUUCCAGAUUCAGAUGACCAAAAAGAAUUUGGUGACAUGCAAAUGAAACUCAGGGUUUGAAACUAGAAUUAGAUACUGGAGUAUGUGAGUCAUCCUGAAAGAUAAUAAUUUCACUCAUGCCAGCUAAUGAGAUUAUUAAGUGAGAGCACAAAAGGAAAAGACAAGAGAAACCAAGACAGAGCCUGGUAGAAUGGUAGUCAACAGUAUCAGAUGAUCAGGAGUAGAAGAAGGGUGAAACUUGAGAAAAGUCCGUUAAAUGUAGGAAUUAAGAGAACAUUGGUAGUUUUGGGCAGGACAAUUUCAAUGGGAUAAUGAGAUUAGGAACUAAAUUUCAGAAUUUAUAAGGGAAUAAAUGGAGGAUAGAGAAUGCAUUUGAAUAAAAUAGAAAAUCUUUUCAUAAAAUUUAACUACUUAGGAUUAAAAAAAUAUUUAGAACAAUGAUUAACUAGCAAAUCAAAAGCUAGCAGAUAGUAGGAUUAAGUGACUAAGCAUGUUUCUUUCAAGCUAAGAGAAUUUAAGGAUCAACCUGAUACUGAAGUUUCUCUCUGAAAAGAAGGGAAAACAAGACUUCCGGGUAAACAUGGCUGCAAUCUAGACGCGACUCUCUUCCCCUCCCCGGCACCGAACGAAAUAGACUACCUCAAAAGAGCAUAAAAAUCACCUUGGAAAAAAUGGAGGUACUCUCCAGUACCCCACAGAAACAAAGAUCCCCAGGAGAAGUAGGCUCAAAUUUAAAGUAUAACUAUAAUGAAGUACAUGCAUGAAGAACACAUGUGGCAAAAAGGAAUUUCCUGACUCCUGAGCCUGGAAGCAAUUUUCUCUCUUCAAGGAAUCUUCAUGAAGAUCAUACCAGAGCAUGACAUAUUUUGUAGAUGAAUCAUUGCAUUGGACUGCCUCCUCAAAGCAUGUGACAGCUUGGCUGGAUAAGUUAAUUUGAUUCUGGUAUGGACUGAUCUGUUAUUGGCCUGGGCUAUACAACUGUCUCCCUAAAAUCUCUCCAGACCGUGAAGUGCUCCCAAGGUGACUGACUAUGCAUGUUCAUUUCAAAGUUUCUGCUCAAUCACCUCUAAGGUUAUCGUGGCUACUACUGCUUCCUCUCAUGGACUCAGUUACCAGUUUCAAUAAUUGGUAAGAUGUGAAAUGUUUCCUCUGGAUCCUCUCUAACUCACAAAAUGUUGCCUGGACAUAACCAAUGCAGAAUACACAUUUGCUAAGAUCAGGAAGAAUAAAUACAAAGUCAGAGAAGGCUUCCAUGGGCUUAAGACCCCUAAGACUGGGUGAGGUGGAGCAUCCGCCUUUUCCUUUUGAUUCCUUCAGGACAUUGCUACAUUCUAGAUAGGAUGUGAGAGAACAAAGGUAGAGUCUUUCUUUUAACCAUCUGGACUGUUGUCAUUUACUAAUUCAGUGUCUCUAAAUAAAUGGUUAAUAAGGAAGAUGGGGAAGAUGAGGUGCCAGCAAUUGUCUUUGAACCUAGAGACAUUAUUUUCUUUACUUCACACUGGAAUUAUGAAAAGUCCCUAGCAGUUUUAUUCUCUUCUUUUUCCUAAGAUUCUCCUCAACUUCUCAAAUGGCAAUAGUUGAUAUCUUUGGUAAGCAUACAUUCUAUUCCAUCCAAGUCUUUUUGGAUGUAUUAAUAAAAUAUUUUCUUCUUCCUAAUAUAAUAUCCUAUUGGUGAAGAAAAAUAUAACAUUCUUCCUAAUAACAAUAAAUUAAUUUCUUUGGUUGAAUUUAUCUAGGAAUUUUGCAAAAUUUAACAUACACUUGAGACUUGUUGGAGGACAGAUAGUUAAAAGUAAUGUUUUGUUGCGGGUUUUUUUUAAAGCAAUCAACAAACAUAAUCACAACAGGAUCUUGUUUUCUUUCAACUUUUCAGUCAAAUGUCUGACUGUAUGGUUGAGGUCUAUUAUGGAGAAUUAUUUGUAAAAUCCGAUCUCUUUCCUUAUCAUAAUUUGACAGAGGCUACAUUGAUAUGCAUGUAGAUAACUCUCACAAACAUUUUAUUUAAAAAAAUUAGAAAGUAGAAAUGUGUUGGUAGUUAUUCACAUUCUUUCAGGAUCUUUUUGGCUUUUUUCUGUGUUUUUCCACUUAUUCUUUAUUCUUUCUAUUUCUUUUUAGCACUAAAUUUCAGUUAUUCUGUUCCUGGAACAACAUAGUAAUGUUUUAUAAAUCUCAAUCUCUCUCUCUCUCUCUCUCUCUCUCUCUCUUGCUCUCUCUCUCUCUCUCUCUUGCUCUCUCUCUCGCUCUCUCUGUCUCUGUCUCUCUGUCUCUCUGUCUCUGUCUUUGUUUCUCUCUCUGUCUCUCUGUCUCUGUCUCUGUCUCUCUGUCUCUCUCUCUCUCUCUCCCUCCAGCCAUACACACACCAGUAUUUUUCAUGACCCUUUUUAGAAAUGAUGGCUUAAUAUUUUUAAGAUAUACAAUCUACAUCAUGGAUUUCUUCUAUAUAUGCCUGAAAUGACCUAAAUAGUCUUCUUAACUCUCCAACUACUAUCUCCUCCUCCUUUGUAAAGCUCAUUGAGUUCAGAAGUGUUUGGAAUCGAAUAUCAAUUCCUCUGUCUCUUAUGAUGAAAAUAGUGCAUUAAGGAAAUGUUGAAAAAUGUGUUUCAUUUUACAUUUCUUUUUUUCUGCAACUUAGAUAUUCAUCAUGCAUGCACCUGGGAUCAUAUGGAUCAUUUGAGGCUCAUGAAAAAUGUUCUGCAGACUUUUUUUAUCACUUGUUGAAUCUUGUUGUUUCACAAAGCAGUGAUGUUCAUUAUCCUUGGCAACAUCUGUCUUUGGCAAGGAAAUCAAGUAUUUACUGAAUAAAGCAAUUUCUGGAUUCUUUUGG